CCAAAUUAGAGUUUUUACAUAAAUUUCAAACCUUUCAAUUUCAUCCUUCUCUGAUGGCAAUUUUCAUUUUCAUGUGAUUUUGGCAAAUAUUCCCAUUUUUAGUUUGGGAGACAUAAAAACAGUGGUGUCAGGUGACCUCUUGGCCACUACUAACUCAGCUGGCUCCUCAUCCAGAAAGACUUGUUGGCUUUAGAAAGAAGCAGAGUGAAUCUCCAAGUACAAAGAGUUUUCUACCCAGAAAAUUUAUUCAAUGUCAUUUUCUUUAACUAUAGCACCAGCUACCUUCCACUGUCCACCUAUGUGUAGGGAACAUACUUGGGCUUAAUUAUCUGAACAUUCUUAGAGCCUUAAAUAUUAGAGCUACAAUUAUGUGUUUUGUCUGUACCUUUCAAUUAAGUCAAAUAUAGUUAAAGAAUAAUGCAAUGGCUAAUUGUUUUGCAUCUGAAUGUAUUAGUCUUCUAGUCUCACUUUAUAUAUCACUGUGAUUAUUAACUAAUAUGUAGAAAAAUGUCUUAUGUGGAAAAACUACUAUGAUCAGUUAUGUAAAAUAGAGCUUUUCCACAUAAUGUCUAAUGUGGAAAAACUC
rnacentral:lncRNA from 1 species